ensembl:lncRNA
CACUGUUAAUGACUUAAGAAUAUAAUAAUCAAGUGCUUUGUAUUAAUGUAUUCCUUGUAUGAAUCAUGUGCUUAUGAAAGCAGGAACAUGGCUUUUCUGUGUGUGUGUAACUAAGAUUAUUAGGUGCCACUUAGUCUGCAUAUGUACAAGAGCAUGUUUAGACCAGAAGUGAUAAGAAGGGUCGAACUGUGCUUCUUCCGACCUUGCAAAACUUCCAUCCUUGCCUCGGACGUGAGAAAUCCACCACGUGAUUUCCCUGCUGAACGCUCAACUUCUGUCUAUAUAAACCUUGUGCGAUGUGUUUAUCAUUGCUUCACUUUCAGCCUUGUGCUGGGAGUGAGCCCGAUUGCAAUUGUUGUUUGUCUAAUAAAUAUACUUAUAUGCAGCUCCGGAGUCCUGAGGUAACUAGGGUGAAUUUUCACCUAUCAUAUUUGGGGGCUCGUGACCGGGAUUCCAACAACCUCAACGGCUCUCCACGCUGGGCUAAUCAUCAGGACCUGAACCAUACGGAGGAGUAUGAGACUCUGUUCAAAAGACCUCCAAAUUGAAUUGGAAGGAGGCCAGGGCCUGCCAGCGGGGAGAGCCGAGAGUGAAGGAAAAUAAUUGGACUGUAGGGUGUGGACUCCGAGCUGUUUGAACACUGUGAGGCUGAAUUCAAGGUUGGACCAGGAGAUUGGGUCCUAAUCAACAGCCUCAAAAGAAAACACUGCCAUUCGCCCAAGUGGGACAGACCAUAACAAGUGCUACUGUCAACACCUACCGCAGUCAAAAUAGCUGAUAGAGUCACGUGGAUACUUCUGGCUCAAUGGAAACGGGUAAGCCUGCACACGGCUGAGGCAGAGGAAUAAAGAUCAUCUUUCUUUGCUGUUUCCAGGGUGUGCCCACUGUGACAGAAGACCAGCCUACAAAGGGGUUUAGAUGUUUAGAUUCUAUUCGUCUCAACCACUGGCAGAAGAUACAGUACUGUCCUGGGGGAUUAGAACCUAGUGGAAAUUGUGGAGUAAGAGGUCUCUUCCUCUGCAAGGUCAUGGGAGGUUACGGAAAGUGGGCAAAGGAUGUGGGGGACUCUUAGCAACGACUGUAGGAUUUUACAUUGUUGGUCUAGUAACAUACUUAUGGAUGAUACAGUAAACACAGGCCCUGGACGAAUAUCCACGAUGGGGCCUGGCUAAAGAUCAUCCGUGAUGGAAAUGGGUAAAUUAGACCGUCAGAAAGUACCACAAGUUAGUUUAGUCUGUUUAGUCUGUGCAGGGCCCAGGGUGCCGACCAAACCACUCCUGGCGACCCCUGUACCUUAUGACAUAGAUCACUGCAACAAAGAAUUUAGAGAAACUGAAGCCUGGAAGAAACAUGGUCAACUUACUCUUAGCUAUCAAGUGCACGUGUGAGAUGUGCCAUCUAGCGGACACCUCGUGUCGUAGAAAAGAAUGUUCAUAUCUUCCUGCCCAAUGUAACUACAUACAACAGCC